GGGCGGUUGGCGCAAUGGUAGCGCAUUGGUUUCCGGUGGUUUGCACAUGGACUUACCAAAGGCUGAGGGUUCGAGUCCCUUGCUGCUCG
rnacentral:tRNA from 1 species